UCCCUGGUGGCUUAGAGGGUAAAGCAUCUGCCUGCAAUGCAGGAGACCCGGGUUCGAUCCCUGGGUCUGGAA
rnacentral:tRNA from 1 species